UACGAAGGGUGCAAGCGUUAUUCGGAAUAACUGGGCGUAAAGGGUGCGUAGACGGCACAUUAAGUCCGUUGUUAAAUUUUCCGGCCUAACCGGAAAUCAGCGAUGGAAACUGAUAUGCUAGAGGAUGGAAGAGAGAAGUGGAAUUCUCGGAGUAGCGGUAAAAUGCGUAGAUCUCGAGAGGAACACCAAUGGCGAAGGCAGCUUCUUGGUCCACUCCUGACGUUGAGGCACGAAAGAGUGGGUAGCAAACAGG
rnacentral:rRNA from 1 species